rnacentral:lncRNA from 1 species
GUUUGGCUCCUUUAUCGAAGAUGAGAUGGCCGAGUGUGUCUGGCAUUGUUUCUGCAUCUUCUAAUCUGUUCCACUGGUCCUCAAGUCUGUUUCUUUGCCAGUACCAUGCUGGUUUUAUCACAGUAGGCUUGUAGUAGAGUUGCAGGUUGGGGAUUGUGAUACCCCCUGCCAUGUCUCUGUUACCUAGAAUUGCUUUUGCUAUUCUGGGUCUCUUCUUAUUCCAAAUGAACUUUUGGAUUGUUUUCUCAAGGUCCAUGAAGUAUGCUGCUGGGAUCUCAAUUGGAAUUGCAUUAAAUCUAUAUAGCAGUUUUGGAAGUAUGGCCAUUUUCACUAUAUUAAUCUUUCCUACCCAGGGGCAGGGGAUGUGUGUCCAUUUUCUGAUAUCAUCUUCAAUCUCUCUUUUCAGAGUGCCAUAGUUUUCAGAGAAGAGGUCUUUGAUUUCUUUCGUUAGGAUGAUUCCUAGGUAUUUCAGUUUUUUGGAUGCUAUUGUGAAAGGAAUUAUUUGUCCUAUUUCUCUCUCAGUGAGUCUGUCAUUCGUAUAGAGGAAAGCUAUUGAUUUUUGUGUGUUGACCUUGUAACCAGCUACUUGACUGAAUUUGGUUAUUAAGUCUAGAAGACUUUUGGUGGCAUUCUUGGGGUCUUCUAUAUAGAGUAUCAUGUCAUCUGCAAAUAAUGACAAUUUGACUUCUUCAUUUCCUAUCUUUAUUUCUUUUAUUUCUUUCUCUUGUCUAAUUGCCAUGGCUAAUGUUUCCAGAACUAUAUUGAACAAGAGUGGUGAUAGUGAACAUCCUUGCCUUCUUUCUGAUUUUAGUGUGAAGGAUUUCAAUUUUUGACCCUUUAGUAUGAUAUUGGCUGUUGGUGUUUCAUAGAUGGCUUCUAUCAGUUUGAGGUAGAGACCAUCUAUUCCAAUUUUUUGUUGGGUUUUUAUCAUAAAUGCAUGUUGGAUUUUGUCAAAUGCUUUUUCUGCGUCUAUGGAGAUAAUCAUAUGGUUUUUGUCCUUGGCUCUAUUGAUAUAGUGUAU